rnacentral:rRNA from 1 species
GAUGAACGCUGGCGGCGUGCCUAAUACAUGCAAGUCGAGCGAACAGAUAAGGAGCUUGCUCCUUUGAAGUUAGCGGCGGACGGGUGAGUAACACGUGGGUAACCUACCUAUAAGACUGGGAUAACUUCGGGAAACCGGAGCUAAUACCGGAUAACAUUUAGAACCGCAUGGUUCUAAAGUGAAAGAUGGUUAUGCUAUCACUUAUAGAUGGACCCGCGCCGUAUUAGCUAGUUGGUAAGGUAACGGCUUACCAAGGCGACGAUACGUAGCCGACCUGAGAGGGUGAUCGGCCACACUGGAACUGAGACACGGUCCAGACUCCUACGGGAGGCAGCAGUAGGGAAUCUUCCGCAAUGGGCGAAAGCCUGACGGAGCAACGCCGCGUGAGUGAUGAAGGGUUUCGGCUCGUAAAACUCUGUUAUUAGGGAAGAACAAAUGUGUAAGUAACUGUGCACAUCUUGACGGUACCUAAUCAGAAAGCCACGGCUAACUACGUG